rnacentral:tRNA from 1 species
GCGAGCGUGGUGAAAUUGGCAGACACGCCAGUCUUAGAAGCUGGUGUCUUACGACGUGAAGGUUCAAGUCCUUUCGCUCGCACCA